CUUACCUCUCAUGUUGUUUUAAACCUUUGCUCCAUUGAUGUUUCCACACAACAGGGAGCACUGUCCUUGCACUCAGUGAGGAAGGGGAGGCGGUGAGUGGGGGAGGCAGACACUUGAAAAAGCAGCAACAACACAGCGUGCUAAGUGUCGAGAUGGGGGAGGAGCAGUUAUGUGAAUCUGUGUGUGACCCAGGAAGCCUUCCAGGAGGCAGCAAUGUUAACGGAGGCCUGCCAGAUGAAGCAGAAGUUGCCCAGGUGAAGGGUGUGAGACCUCUCAGAGCAAGGUUGGAGUAAUAAACCAGAACCACCUGGGGGUCUUUAAAAUGCACUGACACCUGGCUCCCACUCCCGAGCAUCCUGACUUAAUUGGUCUGACGGGUGAGUAGCAUCAAGCAUUUUCAAAGCUCCCCAAGUGAUUCUAAUGUGCAGCAAAGUUCAGGAACAACUGGUCUACACCAGGGCUUGAGGCAAGAGCCUGGGGCUCUCUGUAAGUUGCAUGGGGAAUUGGAGGGGAAGGACAAACAGUGGGAAUGGAGAGAAGUGGAUGGGUUGAGAUUUAGGAGGUAGAAUAGACAGGAGUAGGUGAUAAUGGGGACGGAGUGAGGGAGAAAGAAGCUGAUGGUGAUGCCCAGGUUUCAGGCUUGGGUAGCUGGGUGGAUAUGGUCCACUUUCUGAGAUGCAGAACACAGCAGGAGAAAGGGGUGUGUGUGGGAAGACCCGUUGAUUAGAGAUGAUACGUGGUUAUUGAAAGGAGAUUUGGCUCAAUAAAUAGUAGUUCUGGCUGUGGUCAUCGUCAUCGCCAUGUGGUCGUCAUCUUCUUCAUCAUCAUCAUCAUCUGAGGCUGCUUAAAGCCCUUGGGUCACAAGGAUCAAAGCAGUGAGGUCCCCCUCUAGCGUCGUCCUCUAUGUAUUACAGGCACUCAGGCGGCCGGCGCCACACCUGCUGGGGAUGGAGGUGGGGAGGUCAGAGAUACAGGUGAGCCCCAUCCACAGCCCAACAGUGACUAAGAUCUCCUUUGAAUGAGCUGCUGUCACUGCAAAGUGCUCACGUCAUGGAGGAAGUCCUGAGCAGAGGAAAGGCACUGGGUGGGGAGUCUGGAGGCCGGAGCUCCAGGCACAGCUCUGCCAGUACAGGCUGUCUGACUUCCAGCGAGAGGCUUGCCUGGGCACCGGUGUCUGUGUCAGGACUCAGCGUCUCUGGAGAGCUAAGACUGUGUCUGUGUUGAUGACCACAACAGUGGGCAAGACUGACGUUCUCCACCCUCCAGAGAAGAGACAAGGGGCAGCUCUGGUGUUCUCCAGAAGGGCCCACCGUGUGCCAGUGAGCAGCAGAGAGAAAGUGCCCUGGGAAGCUUCCAGGGGAGGCAGCAUUCCAUCUGGGCCCUGAAGGGAUUAAUAAAUAGUGUCUGUGGGAAGACACCCCAUCCUUGGGGCAUUCAGGAGAAACUUGUCAGCCCAGAGAAGCCCUCAGUGCGGGAAGAAAGGGUGUGGGCUCUGGAGUCAGACAGAGCAGGGUUUGACAGUUGGCUCCCCCAUCUGUGUGACCUCAGACAAGUUGUUUAACCUUUCUGAGCAUAUAUUCCCACCCGUGAAAUGGGGAUAUAAUAAGAUAACAACAGCAAACACUAAUUUAGCCCUAUGUGCCAGGUACCGUUCUGAGCACUUUGCACGUAUUAACUAAUUUAAUCAACACUCCUAUGAGGUAGUACAACUGGCCCCAUUUUACAGAUGAGGAAGACGAGGCACAAAGAAGUUCCAUGACUUGCUCAGUCACCAGGCACAAGGCUUGUGCUCAGUAAAUAGUAACUACUGCUGUGACCGCAGAGAUGACAGUCGCUGGAUGGUACUGAAACAGGGAGCUCACUGGCAGAGCUCAGCCUCCUGGGUGGGCCAGUGUCGAGGAGAGAAUUUCAAGAGAUAGAAAGUGACAUUCUCCAGCAAGCAUGAAGAACAAUGCAUGAUCGUUGUUUGUGACCACAUCAGAAUACCCCAUCAUCCCAGGGACUUCCCAAAUGGGGCCAUGUGGGCAAGGAAGGGCAAGGGCUCUUAGAAGUGGCUUCUUCCCACCAGCCCCAGUGAGUACCAGUGCCAAAACCCAGUGGGGUCCUGAAGAAGGAAGACAUUCCUUCUCCCAACUUCCCAAGCUGCUGAGGGUGGUCACAUGACCUCAUUCUGGCCAAUAAGAUAUAAGGGGCCUCUGCUGGGAGGGCCCUGGAAACAUUUUCCUCCUCGACAAAAGAGGUAGGAGAAUUCUCUUCUUUCCUGCCCCCUUCCUGGGAUGGGAAUGCUGUCAUGUAAGGACAUGAUAUUUGGAACAGUUGCAGCCAUCUUGCAGCCAUGAGGCAAAGGCCAAGAAAAAUCAAAAUUCCCAAAGACUUUUGAAAUCAUCGAGCUGUUGAGCAUGGAAUUACCUACCUCCAGACUUCUGGCCAGACCUGGGCUCUGCCAUCCACAACAUGUAGCGUCCCUUUCUGGAUUCGAGAUGGCAGCUCCCCCCUGCCCAGCCGGAAGGAAGGGAAGAUUGGAAGUGAAGGGCAAUCGGCUCCUUUAAAGAUGAGACCUUGAAGAUCUAUAUACAUUUCUGCCCACAUCCCAUUGGCCAGAUCUUAACCAUGUAAUCACAUCCAGCUUUCUCUGCCACACUUGAAGGAUGGAAUGCCAAUAUUUUUUUCACUUUCUGGGAAGAUCUGAAGAUUAAAGGCCUCCGUGCCCUCGAGGAGAGCAGAAUGGUUUUCUUGGUUGCUGGUUUCUGAGCCUUAUCAAAGGGACCCUGGCUCCAGCGGGGCUGGUCUGAUCCUUCUGUCAAGAUUCAGCUCAUUCCCAUGUCCUCUCCUCCAUUACUUCAAGGAGCAGUGGCAGCCCCCACACCCCCAAAGGCCACUCUCUCCCUUCUGAGGUUUGAAGCUGAUGGUGUCCCCCAUUUGACAGAUGGGUAUGAUGAGUUCUCUCUGCUAUGCUGGGACUUGUCCCCAACUUGGGCCGGGAGCUUCAUGAAGGUAGAGACACAACCCGUUCACCUAACUCCAGGCCAAUCAUUGGAGCACCUGCCCCAUAAUAAGACCCACAACAGGCCCGGGCUGGGGCCUUUCAGCAGAGGCUCCGACCCCUUGUCAGCCCCCUUUCCUCACCUCGACCACACCACGGCACCUGCUGCUGUAUCUGCCAGCACCCUGGGGGACACCAAGUCCCUUCUGACUGCAAGACCCAGGUUGCCUCUGGAAUGAGCCCAGUUAUCUAACCAGCAAAGGUGCCCACUUCCUCCUCCGCCUGCCAUAGAUGGGCAGAUUUUGCUGGAGCCUGAUGCUGGGAAGUGAGCACGUUUUGUGUUAAGAGCUUCUGAGCUCUGUGUACGCCAGGACCACAGCAGCUGUAAACACUGCAGCCUCCCUUCUCCAGCUAGAUAAACUUCAGGCUUCCAGGCAAGGCGCUGCCCCAGCACUCAGUGUUUAAAAAAGGUGUCAGCUGCCACCCACUCUCUUGGCAGAGGCCAGCUCUCCCUCUCCCAGCUGAAGGCCCCGAUUCUGAGCCACUGAUGCUCAGGCCUGGGGGGCAGGGGGCACAGAGCUCAUCUCCUAAUGGGGCCUGGCUGGGAAUCCUCUGGCUAACAGAUGAAGGGGGGCUGUCUGUGUGGAAUAAAUCCUGGAAUGCUCUGGAGACCCUGACGUCCUCCAGAAGCCCUGCCUGACCUAUGCAGACAUGUUCAUCUCAAGCUUCACAUCCUGUGAAAAUAAGGAUGCUACUCCCUUCACCCCUGACAGGGUGAUAUUUUCACCUGUAUCAUUUGGCAUUCAUUUAGUCACCUGACAUUUAUUGAGCAUCUACUGUGUGCUGAUGUGCCAGGCAUUAUACUGCCCUGCCACUCACAGCUACCUAAAAUUCCAUGUUAGGAAAGACUUAAACGAGUGAGACCAGCCCUAUCUAUAUCUGUAUAUGUUAGAUAGAGAUAUAGAUAGAUAGAUACAUAAUAUAUAUUAUAGAUAUAAGAUUCCCCAUCUCUCACCCCUGAGUCAUAUUUUAAAUUUUGUUCAUCAUUUUUAUUCAACCAACAUUUACAGGGUACCUACGAUGUGCGGGCCACUCUCCUAGACACUGGACAUAAACAAGAUACAAUCCAGGCUCCUGAGGAGCUGCCCACCCAUGUGACAGGGAUGUCACCAGGGAGGUGACCUCCAUGGGCCUCAGAAAGAGGAGGCAGACUGACCAGCAAAGGCUAUGCAGGACAGAAGGACACGAUUAGGGACGUGGCCCACCUCACUGGGAUGGGACCUGGGGCAAGCCUUCCCCUCUUCAGGGCUCCCCGUCCUCUUCUCCAAGUGAGAAAGUAGACUGGGGCUCCCGGGUCUUUGAAUUUCGUGGACAAUAUAUCAAAAACCUAACUGAGAGAGCCAGUCAGCUCACCAACGUUUUGUUCCACUGAGUAAGGAAUUUUAGAGAAAAACGAAAACCAGGCCAACAAUUACCAUCUGCCAUCACCAUUAUUUCAUGAGAGAGGGCAUUUUAACCCAAAAAAGCAGGAAGGGCAUAGUCUCAGAAUGAAGGCUGAGCCUUCAAACCGACUCACUCAGCUGAAUCAAGCUCGCUGUGCUGUCCUUGCCGUCCUCGUGCCGCCCCCUCCAGGGGAGCUUUGUGGUGACUAGAUGAUCCACGGCACUUUCUAGCACUAAUGUCCUGGCAGCUGCUGCGUGUGACCCACUGAAGCCGUGACCAAGAGGCCCAAGCCUAGUGCCAUCUCCAGGCGAGAGAGAGAGAGAGAGAGAGAGAGAGAGAAAGAGAGAGAGAGACACACGGUCAGGGGUCUCUAUCGGACAGUGUUGGAGGAGCACCCAGUCCCAACACUUCCUGGAGCCCGCUGUUCUCUCCCAUCCACUUCCCUCAUCCCCACAGCUGCUCCCCUCUUCUCCUCCCCAAACUCCCUGAGAAACAAUGCCCCUCCCGUCUCUAGUCUUCAGGCCUCCAGCCCAGAGGCCACAGGAGCAGAGGGGACCAGGAGCACUCGGCAGCUCAUGGCCUGUGUGAUGGGGGAGGCUGCCAUUCAGCCGUGGGGGACGCUCGUGUGCCUCCCACACGCCUUCAAGCUGCUGGGAGUGCUGGUGGCAGAGCAGUUGCCUCCGUGCAGAGAGCUGCCUUGUCUAAGGUCGCACCCCUUCUUGGGCAGCCUACAUCCAGGUACCAAUGUGGGCGUGUAGAGGCCUGGCCGCCUUUGCCCUACACAGGGCAACUCUACAGGGCCAUCCUAG
ensembl:lncRNA